ACGGAAGGCAGCAGUGGGGGAUAUUGCACAAUGGGGGCAACCCUGAUCCAGCGACGCCGCGUGAGUGAAGAAGUAUUUCGGUAUGUAAAGCUCUAUCAGCAAGGAAGAAAAUGACGGUACUUGACUAAGAAGCUCCGGCUAAAUACGUGCCAGCAGCCGCGAUAAUACGUAUGGAGCAAGCGUUAUCCGGAUUUACUGGGUGUAAAGGGAGCGUAGACGGCGAAGCAAGUCUGAAGUGAAAUGCCGGGGCUUAACCCCGGAACUGCUUUGGAAACUGUUUUGCUAGAGUGCAGGAGAGGUAAGAGGAAUUCCUAGUGUAGCGGUGAAAUGCGUAGAUAUUGGGAGGAACACCAGUGGCGAAGGCGGCCUGCUGGACGACAACUGACGCUGAGGCGCGAAAGCGUGGGGAGCAAACAGGAUUAGAUACCCUGGUA
rnacentral:rRNA from 1 species